CAUUACUAUCCCUCGGUUAAUCUGAGAACGGAGUCUCUGGUACACCACGGUCCAAACAGCCCCCACACUUCACUCCUUCCACCAAGGACUCGUGAGAAGGACCAGGUGUCUGAGGUCACCUCCAGGGAAGGGGUGGGUUUCUGUACAAGUGGCAGGAGGUACUCUGGUCCACCAAGUGGUGAGCUUCUUACUGGUGGGUGACCAGAAGAACAGAAUAUGGGGAUGUGUGACACACACCACUGAGGUCAAAGAUGCCUCUCCAACACCUACCAGGCAGGGCCAGGAGCAGAUCUCCUCAACCAGGCAGCAGGCUCUGAUGGAGCCAAGGAGGGCAUGAGGAGAAGCAGCCGGUGUCGCAUCAUACCUGAGUACUCUGCACCAGGGCUCUGGACGAGGCAGCUACAGUGCCAGUAUCUAUGUGAAUACUGAAGGGCUUGGAUGUAAGACUCCUCACUCUCUCAACUGGGACAGGAAAAAUAACUUUCUGGGCAAAAUGCUGAAGACUCUGGACAGGCUGUCAGAAAUGAAGGAAGUCCUGUCUGUCACUACAAUUACUCUGACACAACAGAGACAGGUCGGGCUCAAGAGGAGAGACAAUAAAAGCUUGGCCUCUCACAUCAGUACGGUCAUGGUUUCUCUCACCCAUAAAGCUAGCUUAACAAAGCAAAGCUCUGAAUUCUCCUCUGGACAGGCGAUGCCCACAUUGGUCCAUAUCGGGAGAACUUGCCAUCCCAUGAAAAUGACUUAAUUUCUGAAGUUCCUGAAGAACCUUGAAGUUCAAAGGAAGACAAGAGGCUUCCACAGCUCAGGUAGAAGAGGUGGAGAGGAGCAGGAAGUUAAGCACAAGGCGCAGGUGCCUGGGUUAACCAUGUUUGCCUGGUGUUCUAAGUAGCAAGGCCCUGGUUUCCUGCAUGGUUAUCUGGCUUCAGUUCUUUCUGGUCAACCAGGGUCAGGACCAUUUAACCCUAUGAACAUCCCUGGAGACUAAGUAAAUCAAAGAUCCUCCUGCUGUAGUAACCAACCGCCUGGCAGAACUUUGCAAACAGCAGCCACCGCUUCUCUGACCCUCUCUGCUCCCAUUUCAAAGGCACACUUUGCUUUGUUUCCUUAAAUAGCGGGAGGAGUGACCCAAUGGUCUCCAUGUCAAAGCUUGCACCUAACCGAUUCCUGCAUGUUCCUUUCCAGGCCACUGUUCGAGAGCUCUGUGGGAUGACUGCCAGCAGCACCAACUGAAGUCAAAAGAGAACCACAGACAAACUAAUAAUCUCGCCAUCACAGGCGCCCCGAGAUUUUCCCAUAAUGCCCAGUUUCUUAUCAUCUGCUAAGCAGUCAAUUGGCAUUUAGCUCUGAGUGUGUCUGUCACUUGUGACUCCGCCUCCUGGUGUAGCAGAAUCGCAUAACCACUGCCAUUCUCACUCUCUCCCAGCUCACAGGAAUCAUUCCUUCUCUCCGUUAUAAGAUUCAAACUCACGCUCAGCAAGCAGUCGAUUUCUGGAUGGUUUUUAAAAAGGUGUUUAUGACAAUCACUCUUAGUUUUCAGGGCAGCAUCCUCAGAACUUUCCCUGAGGAUGCUGAGGACCUUCGCUUUCUUUAGAAGCAGGCUGUAUCCAAUUCCCCAAAGAACACUCGAGACUAUCUAGGCAUAUGUGUGCUAGAGAGACAUCACUCUGGUAGUCGGUGAACUACACAUUAACAGUAAACUUGGGGGUAGAGAAGACGGUCUCCAUAGAGGACCAGCCUCCUUCCUGAUCAACUUCAGAGAAGCCAGUACACAGGCAGACUCCACGCAGCUGUUCCCAUCAGCAGAGGCAACCGGGCGAUAAAUUGUAGAACUGUAGGGAGAGGCUCUUCAACAGAGAGUAAUUUUAUAAAAAUCUCAUAACGGGACUGGAGGAAAAUGUUCCACUUGUGUGGCAUUCAUGUGAGGCUGCAGGCAGGGAACCCAACUCUGUGUGCAGAGGACACCUGUCCUCACGGAAGGGACCCAAGGGCUCAGUCCCUUGCCAGGUCACCUCCUAAGCUAUGUCACCCCCUGGACUGCUCACCCCCUGGGCAGCUUGCCCCCUGGCCUUUCAAAUCAUGCUCACCCAUCUAAUCAAAUUUCCGCAGUGUCCUCAAAUAAAGUUCAAAGCUGACGGGGCCCAGAAGGGCCAUUCCG